UCUGAGCUCUAAGUGUCUCUGUAUUACGCAGCCUGCUUUAAUUUAUCAGUUUUUUUUUUUUAUCUGACUUCUACCAGCGCAGUGGUUGCAUUUUUAGGUGUCUGUUCUGAGUUCUAAGUGUCCCUGGAUUACCCAACCUGCUUUAAUUUAUCAGUUUAUUUUAUCUGACGUCUCCAGGGCUGUCGUUGCAUUUUCAGUUUUCUGUUCUGAGCUCUAAGUGUUUCUGGAUUAAGCAGCCUGCUUUAAUUUACCGUUUAUUUUAUCUGAUGUCUCCCAGCGCUGUCGUUGCAUUUUCAGGUUUCUAUUCUGAGCUCUCAGUGUCUCUGGAUUACACAGCCUGCUUUAAUUUAUCAGUUUAUUUUAUCUGACUUCUACCAGCGCAGUUGUUGCAUUUUCAGGUUUCUGUUCUGAGUUUUAAGUAUCCCUGGAUUACCCAACCUGCUUUAAUUAAUCAGUUUAUUUUAUCUGACGUCUCCAGCGCUGUCGUUGCAUUUUCAGUUUUCUGUUCUGAGCUCUAAGUGUUUCUGGAUUAAGCAGCCUGCUUUAAUUUACCGUUUAUUUUAUCUGCUGUCUCCCAGCCCUGUCGUUGCAUUUUCAGGUUUCUAUCCUGAGCUCUAAGUGUUUCUGAAUUACACAGCCUGCUUUAAUAUACCAGUUUAUUUUAUCUGACGUCUCCUAGCACAGUCGUUGCAUUUUCAG
rnacentral:lncRNA from 1 species